rnacentral:rRNA from 1 species
UGCAGUCGAACGGUGAAAGAGGAGCUUGCUCCUCUGGAUCAGUGGCGAACGGGUGAGUAACACGUGAGUAACCUGCCCCAGACUCUGGGAUAAGCACUGGAAACGGUGUCUAAUACCGGAUACGAGCUUCAGCCGCAUGGCUAGGAGCUGGAAAGAAUUUCGGUCUGGGAUGGACUCGCGGCCUAUCAGCUAGUUGGUGAGGUAAUGGCUCACCAAGGCGACGACGGGUAGCCGGCCUGAGAGGGUGACCGGCCACACUGGGACUGAGACACGGCCCAGACUCCUACGGGAGGCAGCAGUGGGGAAUAUUGCACAAUGGGCGCAAGCCUGAUGCAGCAACGCCGCGUGAGGGACGACGGCCUUCGGGUUGUAAACCUCUUUUAGUAGGGAAGAAGCGAAAGUGACGGUACCUGCAGAAAAAGCACCGGCUAACUACGUGCCAGCAGCCGCGGUAAUACGUAGGGUGCAAGCGUUAUCCGGAAUUAUUGGGCGUAAAGAGCUCGUAGGCGGUUUGUCGCGUCUGCUGUGAAAACUGGAGGCUCAACCUCCAGCCUGCAGUGGGUACGGGCAGACUAGAGUGCGGUAGGGGAGAUUGGAAUUCCUGGUGUAGCGGUGGAAUGCGCAGAUAUCAGGAGGAACACCGAUGGCGAAGGCAGAUCUCUGGGCCGUAACUGACGCUGAGGAGCGAAAGCAUGGGGAGCGAACAGGAUUAGAUACCCUGGUAGUCCAUGCCGUAAACGUUGGGAACUAGAUGUAGGGACCAUUCCACGGUUUCUGUGUCGCAGCUAACGCAUUAAGUUCCCCGCCUGGGGAGUACGGCCGCAAGGCUAAAACUCAAAGGAAUUGACGGGGGCCCGCACAAGCGGCGGAGCAUGCGGAUUAAUUCGAUGCAACGCGAAGAACCUUACCAAGGCUUGACAUAUACCGGAAAAGUUCAGAAAUGUUCUCCCCGCAAGGUCGGUAUACAGGUGGUGCAUGGUUGUCGUCAGCUCGUGUCGUGAGAUGUUGGGUUAAGUCCCGCAACGAGCGCAACCCUCGUUCUAUGUUGCCAGCACGUAAUGGUGGGAACUCAUAGGA